rnacentral:snRNA from 1 species
AUACUUCCCUGGCAGGAGAGAUACCCUGAUCAUGAAGGUGGUUUUCCCAGGGCAAGGCUUAUCCAUUGCACUCUGAUGUGCAGACCUCUGUGAUUUCCCCAAAUGUGGGAAACUUGACUGCAUAAUUUUUGGUGGUGGGAGACUGCAUUCAUGCUCUCCCUUA